rnacentral:ncRNA from 1 species
UUAAAAGAAUAUAGACCUUGUAUAAAUUCAAGAAUAUGGCUUGAAAGUUUCUACCAGCUACCUUUAAAUAGCUUGUCUACAAGGAUUGAAAAAU